AUUGAACGCUGGCGGAAUGCUUUACACAUGCAAGUCGAACGGUAGAGGGGGCAACCCCUCGAGAGUGGCGAACGGGUGAGUAAUAUAUCGGAACGUGCCCAGUCGUGGGGGAUAACGUAGCGAAAGUUACGCUAAUACCGCAUACGAUCUAAGGAUGAAAGCGGGGGAUCGCAAGACCUCGCGUGAUUGGAGCGGCCGAUAUCAGAUUCGGUAGUUGGUGGGGUAAAGGCUCACCAAGCCAACGAUCUGUAGCUGGUCUGAGAGGACGACCAGCCGCACUGGAACUGGGACACGGUCCAGACUGCUACGGGAGGCAGCAGUGGGGAAUUUUGGACAAUGGACGCAAGUCUGAUCCAGCCAUUCCGCGUGCAGGAUGAAGGCCCUCGGGUUGUAAACUGCUUUUGUACGGAACGAAAAGGUCUCUCUUAAUACGGGGGACUCAUGACGGUACCGUAAGAAUAAGCACCGGCUAACUACGUGCCAGCCGCCGCCGUAAAAC
rnacentral:rRNA from 1 species